AACGAACGCUGGCGGCAGGCUUAACACAUGCAAGUCGAACGAGCUGGGAACUUCGGUUCCCGAUGCUAGUGGCGCACGGGUGAGUAACACGUGGGAACGUACCCUUUAGUACGGAAUAACUCAGGGAAACUUGAGCUAAUACCGUAUGACUCCUUCGGGAGAAAGAUUUAUCGCUAAAGGAGCGGCCCGCGUCUGAUUAGGUAGUUGGUGAGGUAACGGCUCACCAAGCCGACGAUCAGUAGCUGGUCUGAGAGGAUGAUCAGCCACACUGGGACUGAGACACGGCCCAGACUCCUACGGGAGGCAGCAGUGGGGAAUAUUGGACAAUGGGGGCGAACCCUGAUCCAGCCAUGCCGCGUGAGUGAAGAAGGCCUC
rnacentral:rRNA from 1 species